rnacentral:rRNA from 1 species
UGAGGUAUGCUGGAGGUAUCAGAAGUGCGAAUGCUGACAUAAGUAACGAUAAAGCGGGUGAAAAGCCCGCUCGCCGGAAGACCAAGGGUUCCUGUCCAACGUUAAUCGGGGCAGGGUGAGUCGACCCCUAAGGCGAGGCCGAAAGGCGUAGUCGAUGGGAAACAGGUUAAUAUUCCUGUACUUGGUGUUACUGCGAAGGGGGGACGGAGAAGGCUAUGUUGGCCGGGCGACGGUUGUCCCGGUUUAAGCGUGUAGGCUGGUUUUCCAGGCAAAUCCGGAAAAUCAAGGCUGAGGCGUGAUGACGAGGCACUACGGUGCUGAAGCAACAAAUGCCCUGCUUCCAGGAAAAGCCUCUAAGCAUCAGGUAACAUCAAAUCGUACCCCAAACCGACACAGGUGGUCAGGUAGAGAAUACCAAGGCGCUUGAGAGAACUCGGGUGAAGGAACUAGGCAAAAUGGUGCCGUAACUUCGGGAGAAGGCACGCUGAUAUGUAGGUGAAGCGACUUGCUCGUGGAGCUGAAAUCAGUCGAAGAUACCAGCUGGCUGCAACUGUUUAUUAAAAACACAGCACUGUGCAAACACGAAAGUGGACGUAUACGGUGUGACGCCUGCCCGGUGCCGGAAGGUUAAUUGAUGGGGUUAGCGGUAACGCGAAGCUCUUGAUCGAAGCCCCGGUAAACGGCGGCCGUAACUAUAACGGUCCUAAGGUAGCGAAAUUCCUUGUCGGGUAAGUUCCGACCUGCACGAAUGGCGUAAUGAUGGCCAGGCUGUCUCCACCCGAGACUCAGUGAAAUUGAACUCGCUGUGAAGAUGCAGUGUACCCGCGGCAAGACGGAAAGACCCCGUGAACCUUUACUAUAGCUUGACACUGAACAUUGAGCCUUGAUGUGUAGGAUAGGUGGGAGGCUUUGAAGUGUGGACGCCAGUCUGCAUGGAGCCGACCUUGAAAUACCACCCUUUAAUGUUUGAUGUUCUAACGUUGGCCCGUUAUCCGGGUUGCGGACAGUGUCUGGUGGGUAGUUUGACUGGGGCGGUCUCCUCCUAAAGAGUAACGGAGGAGCACGAAGGUUGGCUAAUCCUGGUCGGACAUCAGGAGGUUAGUGCAAUGGCAUAAGCCAGCUUGACUGCGAGCGUGACGGCGCGAGCAGGUGCGAAAGCAGGUCAUAGUGAUCCGGUGGUUCUGAAUGGAAGGGCCAUCGCUCAACGGAUAAAAGGUACUCCGGGGAUAACAGGCUGAUACCGCCCAAGAGUUCAUAUCGACGGCGGUGUUUGGCACCUCGAUGUCGGCUCAUCACAUCCUGGGGCUGAAGUAGGUCCCAAGGGUAUGGCUGUUCGCCAUUUAAAGUGGUACGCGAGCUGGGUUUAGAACGUCGUGAGACAGUUCGGUCCCUAUCUGCCGUGGGCGCUGGAGAACUGAGGGGGGCUGCUCCUAGUACGAGAGGACCGGAGUGGACGCAUCACUGGUGUUCGGGUUGUCAUGCCAAUGGCACUGCCCGGUAGCUAAAUGCGGAAGAGAUAAGUGCUGAAAGCAUCUAAGCACGAAACUUGCCCCG